rnacentral:rRNA from 1 species
GACGUAGGGCGCGAGCGUUGUCCGGAUUUAUUGGGCGUAAAGAGCUCGUAGGCGGCUUGUCGCGUCGUCCGUGAAAACCUGGGGCUCAACCCCAGGCUUGCGGUCGAUACGGGCAGGCUCGAGUUCGGUAGGGGAGACUGGAAUUCCAGGUGUAGCGGUGAAAUGCGUAGAGAUCUGGAGGAACACCGAUGGCGAAGGCAGCCUUCUGGGCCAACACUGACGCUCAUGCACGAAAGCGUGGGGAGCAAACAGG